UUGUGUUUAUGGAUUUAUGGUUUUCAGGAUCAAGCACCAAGGAGCAGGAGUCCCAGCAGAAAUAUUGUCACAAAUGUAUGAGGAGGACAAUAAAGAGCAGUCAGAGGAGGGUUUGAGCCUUCUUGUUUCUAGAAACCUUCUGAGGCUCAUGAAUGGUAACAUUCGUCACCUCAGGGAAGCUGGCAUGUCAACCUUCAUCCUCACUGCUGAACUUGCUGCUGCUCCUUCAGCAGUUGGACAAUGAAGCCAUCACAUGCUCUCUCAGAGUUCAUUCUGAAAGCCACGGUGGUUUGCGGAGAAUGGGAAAUGCUGCAGCGCGUUGCAUCACCGAAUGCAUAAGAAAUAAGAUUGACUUGUAUGGUUAUUUGUUAGGGGGGGAAAGUUGUACUGGCAUAGACGCAUAGUAAGGUUCCAUACUUCUGCUCUGUUUGUGCCUGUAAACCAACUGUGCAAGUUUUAAACUUCCAGAAACAAAGAAAAAACCAAGUUCAAGUUAAUAUGAAUAAUAAAGUGUUUUUAUAAAAAAGUGAUAAAUUAUUAAAUUUAGCGGCA